AACGAACGCUGGCGGCAUGCCUAAUACAUGCAAGUCGAACGAUCACUUCGGUGGUAGUGGCGCACGGGUGCGUAACGCGUGGGAAUCUGCCCUUGGGUUCGGAAUAACAUCUGGAAACGGAUGCUAAUACCGGAUGAUGACGUAAGUCCAAAGAUUUAUCGCCCAGGGAUGAGCCCGCGUAGGAUUAGCUAGUUGGUGGGGUAAAGGCCUACCAAGGCGACGAUCCUUAGCUGGUCUGAGAGGAUGAUCAGCCACACUGGGACUGAGACACGGCCCAGACUCCUACGGGAGGCAGCAGUAGGGAAUAUUGGACAAUGGGGGCAACCCUGAUCCAGCAAUGCCGCGUGAGUGAUGAAGGCCUUAGGGUUGUAAAGCUCUUUUACCCGGGAUGAUAAUGACAGUACCGGGAGAUAAGCCCCGGCUAACUCCGUGCCAGCCGCCGCGGU
rnacentral:rRNA from 1 species